rnacentral:misc_RNA from 1 species
AGUCUUUUAGUCUGCUGGUUGUCUUCUGCGCCUCAUUGAAACUGCAUGGUGCGUGGUAUGUAAUUCAACAUUACACGUGGAUUCACCAACUUCAUUGAACAUCAUUUUACGAAAAACAACUAACAACUACAGUGAAGGAAACCUUUUGACAAUUGUGUGCUGGUGACAUUUUAGAUAUAACAAAUUGUCUCCUAUUACGCAUGCUGGUUUUGUCGUUGUAUGACUAGUGAACUUCUGACAGGUGUUUCAAAACUAGCAUCUACAAUUGGAAAAAUCCAUUGACAGUUGAGCAAUUUUUGUUGUCUACUUACAUAUCCAAACAUGGCAAUGUUAGCUGAACCAAAGCGAAAGAAGAAGUGGAGUUUGAAUCCUCGUGGAAAGCAGUGGUCCAAUGAUGACACCAAAAUUGGGCAGAAGCUGUUGGAGAAAAUGGGGUGGGCAAAAGGCAAAGGUCUUGGUCGUGAAGAACAAGGAGAUUUGGAGCCUAUCAGGCUCAAGUACAAAAAUGAUGCUGAGGGAGUUGGCUAUGAGGCCAAAGAUGACCAAUGGGUGGCUCACAGAGAAGAAUUCAACAACAUUCUUGUUGCUUUAAACGGCAACCUUACUCCUGUUGAUGAAUCUGAACCUGUACCAAUUAAGAGCUUGGAAGUUCGCUCAAAAAGCUCAAAAACCCGUGUCCACUAUCACAAGUUUACAAGAGGUAAAGAUUUGAGUCGCUACAGUGCAUCAGACAUGGCGUGCAUUCUUGGUAAACGGGCCGUCGUCGAGGUUAACCAGGAAGAAAAGGAGCCGGAGGAACCAAUCGAAAGCAGUAAUGGCAGCGUAGAGCAUUUGCACGGAGUCACAACCAUACAGAGGGGAAGUAUCCAGGAAUAUUUUGCAACAAAAAUGGCAGCUGCCAAAGAGAAACAGCUUCAGUACUUGGCCAACGGUAACGAUGAGCAAAAUCUCUCUCUGAAUGAUUCAACUACUGGUGAAAAGCGUGUUCGAAUCAACGAAGACCUCAACAUUGUUAAAGAAUUCUGUUCAAAGGAGAAAAUCUUGAAAAACGAAAUAAUUGUGCAGGAGGAAGCGGCAGAAGAGAGCCAAAUUAAAAAGAAGAAGAAAAAGUCCAAGAAGCUUGAGGAGGAAUCCAUUGACGUUCCGUCGGAGCCAUUGCCCAUAACUGAAGAAGUACUCGAAAAUCUUGAAACAAAGAAAAAGAAGAAGAAGAAAAAAGAUAAGGAACAAUUUGAAGAGGUAAUCACCGAGCCGGUGAUUGAAGCUGAACCCAUCAAAAUAAAAAAAUCAAAGAAAAGAAAAAUCGAAGAAGUUAUUAGCCAAUCUGAAAUAACCCAAAUUGGUGAAGAGGACCCAAAUACGCAACCCGAAUCUAAGAAGAAGAAGAAAAAGUCCAAGAAACAAGAAGAACCAGAAGCAGUUGAAGAGACUGUUGAAGUAAUCGAACCCAAAGUUAAGAAAUCAAAGAAGAACAAAACGUUGGAAGUCGCGAUUGAAGUGGUACAAAAUGAGGAGGAGCCACCCUCUAAAAAGAAGAAAAAGAAGAGCAAGAAAAAUGAAGAAGAAGCUCCCACUGAGAAAUAUACUAAGAUGGAAAACUCUUUGAUAGAAAACGAACCGACUGCUGGUGAAAUUAUUCAGAAUGGCGUCGCCGGUGACAGUGAGCAACCCCCGAAGAAAAAAAAGAAGAAGAAUAAAAAAGGAGAUGAAGAGGCUCCCGGGACAUUUCGAAAAAUAGAAGAAAUCGAAUUUGAAUCGAAACUUGUCGAGGAAAUUAAAAGUAAACCCUCCGAUGAAGUCGUAUCGAUUCAGAACGAGGCUCAAGUGUCUAAAAAGAAUAAGAAGAACAAGGCGAGCGUAGAAGAAACUCCUGAAACCAACGUCAAGGAGGACGAGCCCAGCCAAAAUGCACAAGAUAAUUCAACUAAAGACAAAAGCAAGAAGAGGAGAGCCAGUGACGCGACUGACAAAGUUGCAGCGGUCAAUGUUAAACAAGAUGACGUUGGUGCUGUGCAGUCAACCGAAGAACCGACUAAAGACAAAAAAAAUAUUGACAAAAAAGUGUGUUCAGCAGAUCAGUUGCCUCGUGAAGCGGACAAAAAACCUGAUGACUCCCAACAAGAACUGGACGGAUCCCGAAUAAAGGACAAGUCAACAAUUUCAACAGAAGAGUGUUAGAGUUAGCCAGAAAAUCAACCGAAGGUUAAUGCAAGCCAAAUUCGACCAGUUCGUAGGAUCCAACUUGUUAAGCAUCGUCGGCUAUGGAAUAACCAAAUCUGAAGAUGCCCUUCGUUUUACAUAGCUCGAAACUGUGUUAGAGUAUAAAUAAGAAUGGAAUUGCCUUUUCAA